CAGUUCAGAUUGCAGGCUGCAACUCGCCUGCAUGAAGUUGGAAUUGCUAGUAAUCGCGAAUCAGAAUGUCGCGGUGAAUACGUUCCCGGGCCUUGUACACACCGCCCGUCACACCAUGAGAGUCGAUAACACCCGAAGCCUGUGAGCUAACCUUUCAGGAGGCAGCAGUCGAAGGUGGGAUUGAUGACUGGGGUGAAGUCGUAACAAGGUACC
rnacentral:rRNA from 1 species